GCCCCUCUAGCUCAAUCGGAAGAGCAGCGGACUUUUAAUCCGCGGGUAGAGAGAUCGAAACUCUCGGGGGGCA
rnacentral:tRNA from 4 species